rnacentral:rRNA from 1 species
UCCAGACUCCUACGGGAGGCAGCAGUGGGGGAUAUUGCACAAUGGGGGAAACCCUGAUGCAGCGACGCCGCGUGGGUGAAGAAGUAUUUCGGUAUGUAAAGCCCUCUCGGCAGGGAAGAAAUUGGACGGUACCUGACUAAGAAGCCCCGGCUAACUAUGUGCCAGCAGCCGCGGUAAUACGUAGGGGGCAAGCGUUAUCCGGAUUUACUGGGUGUAAAGGGAGCGUAGACGGCAGUGCAAGUCUGGAGUGAAAGGCGGGGGCUCAACCCCCGGACUGCUCUGGAAACUGUACGGCUGGAGUGCAGGAGAGGUAAGUGGAAUUCCUAGUGUAGCGGUGAAAUGCGUAGAUAUUAGGAGGAACACCAGUGGCGAAGGCGGCUUGCUGGACAGUAACUGACGUUGAGGCUCGAAAGCGUGGGGAGCAAACAGGAUUAGAUACCCUAGUAA